UACGGGGGGAGCAAGCGUUGUUCGGAUUUACUGGGCGUAAAGGGCGCGUAGGCGGUCGUGACAAGUCACUUGUGAAAUCUGCCGGGCUUAACUCGGAACGGUCCAAGUGAUACUGUCGGACUAGAGUACAGAAGGGGCAACUGGAAGUUCUCGGUGUAGCGGUGAAAUGCGUAGAUAUCGAGAGGAACACCUGCGGCGAAGGCGG
rnacentral:rRNA from 1 species